rnacentral:pre_miRNA from 1 species
GAAAAGACAAACCCUGGGUUUCCGUGUCUAACAUUUGACUGUCUGUUUUAUAUGAAAUUUUUUUAUAAUUAGUAUUUUCAUUGUUGUUAGAUGAUAAAAUAUGAUUAAUAUUUUAUGCGUGACUUGUCUUUUUAAUUUUUUUCAUAUUUUUUUUAAAUAAGACGGAUAGUCAAACGUUGGACACGGAAAUCCAAG